rnacentral:ncRNA from 1 species
AAAAAGUUUGAUUCUGGCUUGUUCAAAUUUGCUUUUAUUUAGUUGUACAUGUGUAUUUUUGUGUGAUUUUUUAAUCUAGAUGAUUUUUGUAUUUAGAGUCGCAGUUCUUUAUUUUAUUUUUUUGUGAAAUUACAGAGAUAGCUAAUAUAAUUAGCUCUGACCAAUGUUGUGCCAGCAGUCGCGGUUAUACAAUUAGAGCAAGUGAAUUUUAUUGGUUUAAUAUUUAAUUAGAGUUUAUUUAUUUAAUUUUGAAGUUUUGAGGUGAAAUUGAUAUUUUGAUUUUGAUAAUUUUAUGAUGAUUAAAUAUGAAGAUUCAAAUUGAAACUGGGAUUAGAGACCCCAUUAUUAUGAAUUGUGAAUUAUAUAACCUUAGUAUUAAUAGAUAAGAUCUUUAAAUUAAAAGAAUUUGGCGGUGAUUUAGUCUUUUCAGAGGAAUCUGCCCUGUAAUUGAUGACCCACGAUAAAUUUUACUUUAUUUGGGCUUGUAUAUCUCUGUCAUUGGAUGUCUUGUUAGGGUAAUUUCCGUGAAUCAUUAAUGUGAAUAAUGUCAGGUCAAGGUGCAGCAAUAAUAAAGAAGAGGUGGAUUACAUUAAAUGUAUUUAUGGAUUGAUUAUAUGGAAAUAAUUCUGAAAUUGGAUUUGAAAGUAACUUUUGUUAGAAUACAAAGUUGAUUUAGCUCUAAAUCAUGCACAUAUCGCCCGUCACUCUCGUUUUUUAAAAUGAGAUAAGUCGUAACAAAGUAGGCUUACCGGAAGGUGAGCCUAGAUAUAU